AAGCAUCCUGUUAAGUCAGGCAACGAGCGAGCCCACGGCCAACAGUUGCCAGCUGUCCUCCGGGAUGGUGGGACACUGUUGGGACCGCCUCUGGCUAAAGAGGAGGAAGGAAUGGGCAACGGUAGGUCAGCAUGCCCCGAAUUAUCUGGGCUACACGCGGGCUACAAUGGGUGGGACAAUGGGUAUCGACACCGAAAGGUGAAGGCAAUCUCCUAAACCCAUCCGUAGUUCGGAUUGUGGGCUGCAACUCGCCCACAUGAAGCUGGAAUCUGUAGUAAUCGUGUCUCAAAAUGGCACGGUGAAUAUGUCCCUGCUCCUU
rnacentral:rRNA from 1 species